CUCUGGGUAAUAAGACCUGGGAAGAAAAAUGCAGCCCAGACCUGCUGAGAGCUUGAAACUGCUUCUCUGUGUUUGCUUCUAGAGACCACAAUGGCUACUCAAGCUUGCAAUGCUGUGAGCAGGAUGUAAAGAGGAUGGGAGGCAGUCCGGAGCCCUUCUUUGCACUUGGUCCCUGUGAGUGGAGCUGCCUAUCAGUGAUGUGCCCCUGACAAGCUGGCACCAGCUGGCAGGAAAUCUGGGGUGGGAUUUAGGUUGCCCAAACACAUUGCAGCAUGCCAAUUCUACAAUGAAGAAACAGCCCUGGUUUUAUUUGCAACAGGUCAGAAACAAAGCCCUCUACUCUGAUGUCCCAAUCCCUGGAGAAGCUGAAGCAACUAUAGACUCACACUUUUCGGUUCUCAGCUCUCAGUUCAGCAUCAGAGGCAGCUGCCUGGGUAGGAUGAGGCCGAAGCAUU
rnacentral:lncRNA from 12 species